rnacentral:tRNA from 1 species
GGUUGUGGCUCAGUGGCAGAGUGCUUGCCUAGCAUGUGGGAGGCACUGGGUUCGAUUCUCAGCACCA